GACGAACGCUGGCGGCGUGCUUAACACAUGCAAGUCGAACGGUGAUGCUCCAGCUUGCUGGAGUGGAUCAGUGGCGAACGGAUGAGUAACACGUGAGCAACCUGCCCCAGACUCUGGAAUAAGCGCUGGAAACGGCGUCUAAUACUGGAUACGAAACUGGCCCGCAUGGGCAUGGUUUGGAAAGUUUUUCGGUUUGGGAUGGGCUCGCGGCCUAUCAGCUUGUUGGUGAGGUAAUGGCUCACCAAGGCGACGACGGGUAGCCGGCCUGAGAGGGCGACCGGCCACACUGGGACUGAGACACGGCCCAGACUCCUACGGGAGGCAGCAGUGGGGAAUAUUGCACAAUGGGCGAAAGCCUGAUGCAGCGACGCCGCGUGAGGGAUGACGGCCUUCGGGUUGUAAACCUCUUUCAGCAGGGAAGAAGCGAAAGUGACGGUACCUGCAGAAGAAGCACCGGCUAACUACGUG
rnacentral:rRNA from 1 species